rnacentral:lncRNA from 1 species
CAUCCCACCUCCUCCAGGGGCAGCCGGGAGAAUUUAAAGGGGGCCCAGGAAGUCACCACUGCAAGUUUAUAAAAGCUUUUAUUUGCUCUUGGUACGACCAAGAAUGGGACAGUGAUCUUUUAUACAAUUUGAUACAGUAAGUGGUACAAAAGAAUGUGUUUUAAAUAAAAAGCCAGAGUGGAGUAGCAAAAAUUUAUUAUUCCACCGUCCGAGGGCCCGAGGCGCCGCGGUGAGCACGGCCCCCACGGCCCGUGACACUCGUGGGACAGAGCCCAGCUCAGGUUUGGUUUGUCGGGCCCGAUUGAGUCGUUUUGACAGGUUUUUGUGGGCUGGGCCCAGCAGGGAGUUCAGACACCAGCACAAAUCAAAUUACCGCAAAUUAAUUCCUCCAACAUCGUUAUUUUUUUUGGGGGGGGGGGUGUUUUAUCUGUUUUCAGCACCGGCACCGACUCGUGCUGCUCGAGCCCACGCCCGCGGGUACAGCUCGUGGUUGGACAGGAACAGAAAAUAGACCAAAUAGAAAGAUUUCAGUUUAUUAACCGGGCAGGGGGAGGGGACCGGGGGCGGGACCAGCGAGUGGCCUGGGCUCCACCUGGGGCUCGCACUGGGCACGGCAGCGUCUGCAGAGGGGUCACACGGAGGGAGCCGAGCCCCUGGAAGCAGGUAAGAAGCUCACGUUUAAAACAAGGAUUAUACAAAAAAAACCCUUGAUGUAUAUUCGCCAUUU